UUGUAGGAAGGGUGGACUAUGAAGGGAAACACUGGUGUUCUAAGAUAGAUGUUCUGUGUUUGAGAUCUUGCCUUGGUAGCUGGAUGCCUUGGUGCAAGACAUUCAAGGUUGUUUGAUGCGUUCGUGCUCGUUGGCGGGACGGUGCAAGGCGCAACUCCGACGCGUUUCCUCGCCGGUUGGACGGCUUUCAGGCGCAACCCCGGCGCGCACUGAGUACUACCUCGGCUACAGCCUCCCUCGCUAUGCUCCUGGAUUUGCUAGAUUGAUCAGUGGCGUUCGUGCUAGGGCGAUGAUGAUUAAUCGUGGCUGAAAUAAGUGUGCCUUUGAGCAAUCGUGGCACCUGUGCGUAUCAGAUUGAUCUGGUGAUAAGAGAUGACGGGGGUAGGUUAUAUGAUCGAGGAAAGGUGAAUCUGAGCC